rnacentral:rRNA from 1 species
UCCUCCCAAAGAGUAACGGAGGAGCACGAAGGUUAGCUAAUCCUGGUCGGACAUCAGGAGGUUAGUGCAAUGGCAUAAGCUAGCUUGACUGCGAGAGUGACGGCUCGAGCAGGUGCGAAAGCAGGUCAUAGUGAUCCGGUGGUUCUGAAUGGAAGGGCCAUCGCUCAACGGAUAAAAGGUACUCCGGGGAUAACAGGCUGAUACCGCCCAAGAGUUCAUAUCGACGGCGGUGUUUGGCACCUCGAUGUCGGCUCAUCACAUCCUGGGGCUGAAGUAGGUCCCAAGGGUAUGGCUGUUCGCCAUUUAAAGUGGUACGCGAGCUGGGUUUAGAACGUCGUGAGACAGUUCGGUCCCUAUCUGCCGUGGGCGCUGGAGAAUUGAGGGGGGCUGCUCCUAGUACGAGAGGACCGGAGUGGACGCAUCACUGGUGUUCGGGUUGUCAUGCCAAUGGCACUGCCCGGUAGCUAAAUGCGGAAGAGAUAAGUGCUGAAAGCAUCUAAGCACGAAACUUGCCCCGA